GGCUUCGUAGCUCAGCUGGUUAGAGCAUGCGGUUCAUACCCGCAGUGUCACUGGUUCAAAUCCAGUCGAAGCCACCA
rnacentral:tRNA from 1 species